GGCCUUAUCCUAAGUUAAAUUGGUCUCUUGACAUAUUUUAGCAAUGCUCCUCUUUAAUGUAUGGUUGAUUUUCUCAGUCUUUCCUGUUGAUUGGGGUUCUCUAGGAUGAAUGUAGCAUCCAAUUAAUUUGCAGUGCUUUAGAUAUUUGUUGGGUUAUGCUAGAGACACAAGCAAGUCCAUUAUCACUUUGAAGGGAGUUAGGUAGUCCAAAAUCAGGAGAUAAUUUCCUUAGGGAGGGCUUUAACCACUUUGGAGGCUUUUUCUGUCCUGGUAGGAUAUGCCUCCGCCCAUCCUGAAAAAGUGUCCACAAAUACUAGCGUGGUACCUGAAAUCUCCUGCGGCUCAAAGCAAUUGGGUAAAGUCUAUUUGCCAGUCUUCUGAGGGACAGGCUCCUCUGUGUUAGGUCCCCAUCUGGGGAGGCCUCGCAGAAGGCUUUGGAUCAUUUUUAGCACAAAUCAUGCAGUUUUGAGUGGCUUGCUGCAUAGUCAUUUGUAGGUUAGGCCCCAUUAUGUAUUUUUGAAUACAUUACAAGGUGGCAUCUCUACUGUAAUGGGUACUAUUGUGAAUGUGCUAAAGCACAGGGUCCAAGAAGGCCUCAAGGACCAAAAAAAUUCUUAUGCACUACUUUUCCAGCCAGGCGAGGUGUGGUCAGUCCCCACUCUUUGGCCCUCUCUUUGUCCUUUUCUGAAUAUACCGGCUGGUAUUUUGACAAGUCAGUCUGUGGGAGAAGUGACCCUAUCUUGGCUUGAUAAUUGAAUUCCUUUGCUGCCUUCUUUGCAGCUUGGUCAACUAACCAGUUACCUUGUAUUAUAUGUUUCACCCUUUUGGUGGCCUGGGCAGUGCAUCAUGGCCACUGUGAGGGCUUAUGGAUGGCUUCUAAUAGUAACAGGCUUUCAGAAGCAUGUGUUAUAUCUUUAUUGUUUGAAGUGAUGAGCCCCCUUUCUUUCCAGAUUGCCCCAUUAGCGUGCACCACAGAGAAUGCAUCCUUUGUCCAAUAUUAUGUUUCCAAGGUCCCUGGACAGCACUUUACCAUACAAGGUAGGGGAAUUCUUAAAUCCUUGGAGCAGGACUGUCCAACAAUACUGUUGGACUACCUGUGUUUCUGGAUCCUGCCAUUCAAAUGCAAACAGCUGCUGUGAUUCUUCUGCAACAGGAAUGCCUAAAAAAGCAUCUUUCAAGUCUAAUACCAAGAACCAGCUGUCUUCUCCCAGAAUAGUUGUGAGUAAAGUGUAUGGAUUAGGUACCUCAGGGUGCAAAUCUUGGACUAUUUCAUUAAUAACCCCCGAGUCUUGGACAAAACGAUGCUCUGCUGAAUUUUCCUUUUUUUACCAGGAGGAUAGGGGUGUUAUAUGGGGAUCUGCAAGGUUUAAUCAAUCCUGGUUUCAAAAGCUUUUUGAGAAUUGGCUGAAUUCCCUUUAGGCCUCUUACCUUAGAAGAUACUGUUUUAGACUAGGUGUCCCAGCAUCCCUUUUUAAUGGAAUUUGUAUUGGCCAGGUGUUUUUGGCCUUCCCUGGGGUGCCAUCAGCCCACAUUUCUGGCCUUACCUCUUCGUAGACCUCUGGGGCAUCCAUGAGUGCCAUCUGUAGGUUCAAAGUGUGCUCCAGUGGGACUCUGAGUUCAAGCUCUUCUGGUGAAAAAGUUGAGCAUUUAAUUUACAAAGGUGAUCUUGGCUCAGAAGAGGGAUUGUACAUGGUGGCAAACAUAAGAAACUGUAUUUCAGGGUGAGGUUCCCUAAUUGGCAUUCUAGAGUUUGUAAGAAGAAUGACUUUGUACUUCUUCAGAAACUCCUAUAACUGGGAUGGAUUGGGAUGUUUUCUGCGCCACCCUGGGGUUUACCACAGAGUAUGUUGCACCUGUGUCUAUUAGAAAGUCAAUCAACUUGUCCUCUACUGUCAAAGUUACCCAGGGCUCCUGCAGGGAAAUUGCAAUUGGGUGCCUCAAGUCCAAGGGAGCCCCUGGGUCUCUUCAUUCCUCAUCAAAGUCUUCCUCUCUUCUUACCAUAUGAAAGGAUCCCAUCUUUCUUUUAUUGAUUUUCAUCUUAUUCUUUAGCCCAGGGCACUCUCUUUUCCAGUGCACUUCCUACUUAUAAUAAGCACAUUGUGCGCUCCCAGAUGGUGGCUCACCUCUCUUCAGAUUACUUGCCUUCGGGGAAGCCAAUGCUGCUGCCAGAAAAGUAGCACUCCAUCUUGCAUCCUCAUGCGUCUGCCGUUGUUCCCUGUUGAACACUUUAAAAGCAACAUCUACAAAUUGAGAAGGUUCGUUCCAAAUUCACCAACUUCGGCAAUCACCUUAUAUCUGGGGCACUUUGCCCAAUGAAAGUCAUAUUUACCAUUCUCAUAUUUUCAGGGGCCUCAAGCUUGCUAAAUUCUUUAUAGCAACUCUGAUGGAUCCUCAUUGGGUUUUUGGUGUAUCUCCUGAAUUUUGGUUCAUCUGCUUUGCCUAGGUACCUCCUGUUGAAGACCCACUAAGAUACACUUCCUACAGUGCUGUAGGUGUGGCCUAUCCCCAUUAUGAGGAUCCCAGUCAGGCUCAGCAAUGGCAACAGCAGAUUUGCUUCUGGAGUUCCAUCUGGAUCUUCUAGAUGAAGCUGGGAUGAUGAGCAGAAAAGAUACAAAGUGAAAAGUUGAGUCACAUGGAGGGGAUCCUCUUGGACCGCCCUUAUCCUGGCUUCUUUUCCACCUGCCUCUAGAAAGCUUAAGAUUCUAGCUUUCCUAAACAAGGAUGGUGUCUACAUUUGUGAACCAGAGAGGAACUCUGCAUGAAGUCUUGAAAGGCGUUUCCAGAGAGAGAACUGAUUCAAGAUAGACUGAGUGAAGAUGGCCCUCACCCCUAACCAGUGUAGGUGGGCAUAAUCUAAUCCACUGAGGACUGGAAGAGGAUGAAAAAAUGGAGGGAGGCUGACUUUGGUCUCUGCUUGAGCUGGGACUCCUGUCUUCCUCAGGCAUCAGCGUUUCCCAUUCUCAGGCCUUUGGUCUUGGACCAGGAUGUUCGUGAAUCUCUCUCUCCAGACUCAGUAAUAGGAAAAUAAACAACCCCAUUAAAAAUGGGCAAAGUUUAAACAUUUCU